GUCUCUCCUUGUGGGUCUGUAACAAGGCCAAACAUUCAAGGGGGCUACCUCUGAUGCCAUCCGGCCCUAAACGUGUCCCAUUGUUUCCAUGGAUACAGCUACGAUGGUCUACUGUUCUCUCUGUCUUAGUCCCCUGGCUGGCACCUGCUCACUGAUCCUCAGUACACACAACAUCAACACUCACAGAUUGGUGACCAGCCAAGUUGGAUUGAAGCGUAUCGCUGUCAUCAUCAAUUGCUUUAAGAGGCUUGUCAUGGCCCACAUCAAAGGAAGUUUCCCGGGAUCACUGGACCCACUCCAAUUAGCCUGGCACCACAGCAGAUCCAUGGAGAAUGACAUUUUCCUCGCUAUUCACAUGGCCGCAACACCUACAGGAAAGGAACUGAUUGGCCCUUGGUACUUCGGACUAUGAAUCUUCUGUCGUCUUUUGGCUCUACACGCUGUACAGUUUUAAGUGGGAAUCAAACAUUUACUAUCAGGUUUAAGUGUUGAUUCUGAGUUUACAUUUGAGCCUGUGUUCGCUUAGCCUUGUGUAUCCUAGGCAUGUGACCAUUAA